AAAUCCACGAACACCUUCGCUUUAGAGAUGCCAGGGAUUUGGAAAAGGGGAAAUAGUCAUCAGGAAGGAGGAUGUGGCGGCGGCGGAUGGAAGAUGAUGUGGUUGCAACGUCUUCAAGUUCUGUUUGCCGAAAGAAGCAGAUAUGCAGUAGCUACUGGAUCUUCUACUGGCACAUAACAAUUGUGGAUCAAAGCACUUGCUAGUCUUGAUCAUUGCGAGGGGUGGACGGACGAAGAAUAGUUUCAUUGCAAGCCCGUGAUAAUUGGUAUCAGAGAAGGAUAAUUCUACAUGGAUUUCCACAUGUACAUUAUAAUGUACAUGUAGUAUAGCCUCGGAGAAAAUAUAUGUGUUUUCCUUCUCUUUGGCAAACGUUGAAAUAAUUAUCCUUAAGUGACAUUACUAUCUGGCACUGCAAUAAAGAUGUUGGGAAAAGAGGUCUCUUUUGCUUUGUAUUUU